rnacentral:rRNA from 1 species
UACACAUGCAGUCGAACGAUGAAGCCCAGCUUGCUGGGUGGAUUAGUGGCGAACGGGUGAGUAACACGUGAGCAACCUGCCCCUGACUCUGGGAUAAGCGCUGGAAACGGCGUCUAAUACUGGAUAUGUCCCGUNACCGNAUGGUGUGCGGGUGGAAAGAUUUUUCGGUUGGGGAUGGGCUCGCGGCCUAUCAGCUUGUUGGUGAGGUAAUGGCUCACCAAGGCGUCGACGGGUAGCCGGCCUGAGAGGGUGACCGGCCACACUGGGACUGAGACACGGCCCAGACUCCUACGGGAGGCAGCAGUGGGGAAUAUUGCACAAUGGGCGGAAGCCUGAUGCAGCAACGCCGCGUGAGGGAUGACGGCCUUCGGGUUGUAAACCUCUUUUAGCAGGGAAGAAGCGAAAGUGACGGUACCUGCAGAAAAAGCACCGGCUAACUACGUGCCAGCAGCCGCGGUAAUACGUAGGGUGCAAGCGUUAUCC